GGGCAGCAUGAACUUAGCUUGCUAAGUUUGAUGGCGACCGGCGCACGGGUGAGUAACACGUAUCCAACCUGCCGAUGACUCGGGGAUAGCCUUUCGAAAGAAAGAUUAAUACCCGAUGGCAUAGUUCUUCCGCAUGGUAGAACUAUUAAAGAAUUUCGGUCAUCGAUGGGGAUGCGUUCCAUUAGGUUGUUGGCGGGGUAACGGCCCACCAAGCUUUCGAUGGAUAGGGGUUCUGAGAGGAAGGUCCCCCACAUUGGAACUGAGACACGGUCCAAACUCNUACGGGAGGCAGCAGUGAGGAAUAUUGGUCAAUGGACGAGAGUCUGAACCAGCCAAGUAGCGUGAAGGAUGACUGCCCUAUGGGUUGUAAACUUCUUUUAUACGGGAAUAAAGUGAGGCACGUGUGCCUUUUUGUAUGUACCGUAUGAAUAAGGAUCGGCUAACUCCGUGCCAGCAGCCGCGGUAAUACGGAGGAUCCGAGCGUUAUCCGGAUUUAUUGGGUUUAAAGGGAGCGUAGGCGGACGCUUAAGUCAGUUGUGAAAGUUUGCGGCUCAACCGUAAAAUUGCAGUUGAUACUGGGUGUCUUGAGUACAGUAGAGGCAGGCGGAAUUCGUGGUGUAGCGGUGAAAUGCUUAGAUAUCACGAAGAACUCCGAUUGCGAAGGCAGCUUGCUGGACUGUAACUGACGCUGAU
rnacentral:rRNA from 1 species